UCUCUCCACAGGUUUACUGCCUAAACCACGACAUGGUGGAUGGCUUUCUCAGAGUGGGUGAUAAGAAGAGCAUGAAGUGGAAGCCUCAUACAUCUUUUGCCUCAAGCUUUGGAAGUCACACACCAUCCCUUCCAUUAGACCCUGUUAGUGACAUGGGUCAUGUGGGAGUGGUUACACAGAGAAUGAAUACUAAAAGGUGAGAAUCACUGGGACUUCUUAGAGACCAGCUAUUUCAAGA
rnacentral:lncRNA from 1 species